GAUGAACGCUGGCGGCGUGCUUAACACAUGCAAGUCGAACGGAAAGGCCGAAGCUUGCUUCGGUACUCGAGUGGCGAACGGGUGAGUAACACGUGGGUGAUCUGCCCUGUACUUCGGGAUAAGCUUGGGAAACUGGGUCUAAUACCGGAUAUGACGAUCUCUUGGAUGGGGUUGUGGAAAGCUUUUGCGGUAUGGGAUGAGCUCGCGGCCUAUCAGCUUGUUGGUGGGGUAAUGGCCUACCAAGGCGUCGACGGGUAGCCGGCCUGAGAGGGUGUACGGCCACAUUGGGACUGAGAUACGGCCCAGACUCCUACGGGAGGCAGUAGUGGGGAAUAUUGCACAAUGGGCGCAAGCCUGAUGCAGCGACGCCGCGUGGGGGAUGACGGCCUUCGGGUUGUAAACUCCUUUCGCAAUCGACGAAGCCUUUUGGUGACGGUAGGUUGAGAAGAAGCACCGGCUAACUACGU
rnacentral:rRNA from 1 species